GUUAUUUUUCCUAAGCGUGAAUCACAUCACAGAUGUUCCUCCAACUGCAACCUGGCAACCUCCCUUUUCAGUGCAGAGGAGCCCCUCCCUCUUCCUGGUCCACCAAGUCCGUAUCUCAGCAAGCUCCGUAGCACUUGCGUUGCCAGACCAUGGGCAAAGCGGUAGAACAUCUCAAGGGGGCAUGCCAAGUGUGAUUGUGCCUUUUCAGAAUGCCCGCCCUUGGCAUUUAAAUUCCUUCAUCUGAUAGCAAUUGCACUGCCACCCUAGUAAGAGCCCUGCAACAAAACAGCCUUGCACAAGCACAGUUUUCUGGUGUAGGGGCUGCUGCUGAGGGGUACUAUUUUUAUAGUACUCCAGGAAGGGAAUGUGGUGACUUCCAAGGAGGAGAUAUAUACAGUAUAUGAAGGAGGGCAAAGGAUCCUGGGGUCUGGCCCACUGUGACCAAGGAUGCUCUUGUGAUGGCUGAUGGAGACCAAACUGCACUCCUGGCCCUAUGUCAGCUUGCUGCCUGGAAAUUAGCCCUCUCAUAAGAGGGUCAGUUCACGGUGGAGGACCUUAGGCUCGAAAACCUUCGGUCUUCCAUCAGACUGCGUGCUUAUGAGUUGAGCCAUCCAAAAAAAGGGGGGCCUGCUUGUAUGGGGCCCCUUUCUCACUAGUUAAUGGUAGAACUUUUGCACAGUGAUCCCCUUCUCUCCAAGGAAGCCUUUGCCACACCCAAAAGAGAAUUUGAAUCUCCCUGGGUCCAGGCAUUGCCGGGUUGGCAGACUGGGGAAUGGCAGACUGGAGAAACACUGGGACCAAGGAAAGAUCUUGACUCUCAUUCAAAUUUCCUGAGUUUGGAGCAGCAUUGCAACAUAUCCAGAUCAGCCACUGCAGGGAAUCGCAGGAGAGGGGAGGCCUGAUUUCCAGCAACCCCAGGAGAGUGGGGUUGCUGUACCAGGCAAAAAUUAAAAUGUCUAUGUCCCAAUGGGCAGCCAGACUGGGAGAGGUGUUGCAGGGAUACCUGUCCCUGUGGCUUGCUUGUGUGGAGCAACCAGUCUGGACGCCAUCUGCCAGCCCGCCUGCAUGUCUCCAUGGCCUAACAGACUCAUGACAGAGCAGUCUGUGGGAGAAGGACUUUUGUCACACAUUAUUAGCGAUUCAGCCCAAUCCCACUUCUUCUCUUGAGUUGUGAAUGAGUAUCCCCAUGGCCUUGCACUCUCGUGACAGAGCAGUCUGCUCAGGAUCAGUAUCCGUCAUCAUGACACAUGUAGGAGCAUUAUCUCCAGUGAAAGGAGCCUUCCGCUGGAGGCAGUGUUGCUCCUGCUGGAUGGUUCUUCCCAUGAGUAAGCCAUGGGGCUACAUGUGUUAACCCAAGGUGAAAGGGCUGGGCCCUCCCCCAACAUCACUGUACAAAAAAUAGACCAGAGCCAUUAAAAGGGCUGCCUUUUAAACCCAACCCUGGAAAUCACCACCCUGCCAUAUGUUAUCUCCCCAGUGAUCUAAUCGGGUUGCCUGGUAUAUAAUGCCACUGCAACUGCAUGUGCUUGUGAACAUUCAUCUUUAUCGCUUUAUUUUCAGACAGCAAAGCACAUAGUGCCUGUCUUGCCAUCCUAUCCCCUUUUUCUCCUGAUUGCCAGGAGGGGGGAACAAGGGACCGUGUGGGGAGAGGGCAUGCCCCCAUGUGACUUGCCUGUUUGAUAGGCUUACAAGCUUGGAAUGGGAUGUGGUGACGUCCCUGUUGCUGGGCAACUGCUUUAUUAGAUCGGAGAUGGGUGCAGGGCAAGUGUUCAGAGAGGCAGACAGUGGCAAGUGCCAUAGGCAUGGAGCAGUCACGAUCCCGGGAGCGUCUGGGCCACCCUCUCUAUGUUUACAGCUCCGAAAACAACACAAAACCGUGGUUAUGGCAGCGUUGACAUUUGGACAAAAUGCUGCUGCCCUCAAACCUCAGGUUGGGGCAGUGAAACUCAUUACAAACUGAAGGUUCAGUCUGGAGUUUGAUGAGGGAAAAGGCAGGUCACUUUUGCUGUGAAACCGUGGUUUCAAAAUUUGGACAUUCACAAAUUCCAACCUUUGCCACCAUUUAACUGCGGUUUCGUGUGACAUGCAAAUGCAGCCACUGUUUUAAGAAUCCCUCUCUCUAGCUGAUGCUGACCAAGGAUAACAAAACAUGCAGGGGCUGUACACACUAUGUAAGUACUCCCUUGGAACCCACUAAACCAAAGAACAUGACAAGCACAGCAGCCCACCCGACAUCCCAUCCACCCCCUGGAUGGUCUGCAGGCAAAAUGGCAUGAGGCUGCUCUUCCUCCUCCCUUCCAAACAGAAGUGGAAGGAAGAGGAAGAUCUCUGAAAGUGUGGUAUUAAUAGGAAAAAGAAGUGGGAGUGAAGGUUGGGGGAGCCAUUUGGUUCCCUCCUUCAAGCAGCAUUAAGUAAUGGAUCUGUAGAGGGGUUAAUAAUACAACAACCCCCUCCCCUUCAUUGUAGUAACACUGUGUAAGUGUUAUUACACAGCACUUGUGUGCUUCAUUGCUCCAUGUUCUGAGAAGGAUCCAUCUUUUGGCAUCCAAGUUAACAAGAUCUUCACUUAAAGGGUCUGCCAUAAAGAAGUAAGAGUGUAUCCCUGGGAACUCGCCAACUCAAGGAUCCUACUCACCAUUGUCUAGUGCAAUUAAGCUCAUUAGUUUUCUCUUAUUUUAUUUUGAGAUUGUUGCAGGAUUGUAGAGCAAAAAGAGCUCAUUCAGUUAAAAAAGUGGCGGGGGGGCUGUGUGGGGCAAGCUGCAGUGUAUGUAACUGGGACAUCCAGAAGCAGAUGCUUCCUUACUAAGUCAUAGCAUGCUGAAUAAUCUCAGUGCUACUUCCCAUGGCUCUGGGAGGCCAAUGUUGGCACAUGCGUAAUACAUAUGAAGAAGAAGAUUCAAACAUUGUUCUUUUAAGGAAGCUGUAAUUUUGACAAGUGCAAUGAGGGAAAGAAAGGAACGAAACUCUUCCCCUACUAGCCACUUUUCUCUUUAAAAGUAAAUUCCCCAGCUACGUUUCUCCCUGCAAUGUUCCAGAUGUGUGUUUACAGAGUUAAUCAGCGACUUAGCUCCAAGGGGAGACCAAUGGCCUUGGGCUUCUGAGGAGGGGCCGUGCCAGCUGGCUCUUUGCUGACCAUUGAUAAGUAAUGUCAUAAUUAGUGAACGUGCCGAUGCCGUGCAUAGGCUGCUGGGAACAAGGAAGGAGCCGCGCACAUUCUUUUCGGCAACACAGCUCCAUGACCGGAAUGGUGGCAGGGCAGUGGAGUGAAGGAGCAGAAGGAUGCCAGACCACCUGGAAACCCCCAGAGGACACCCCGGACAAUGUGCCACCUCCCACCCACAAGUUGAGACCGGGUUCCCCCCGCUCUCCUGGCUUGGACUCUAUCCUGGACUCUGUCCAGAUUCACAUACGCGUGGAACCGAAGGAGGGCUUGCAUACAUUGGCGAUGCCUUGCAGAUCGCGACUAACUCAGAUGGACACUUAUUUUCUUAUGGCUGUCUUGACCUGCAUGUAUGUAUGUAACCUCCCACCUCAGGAAUGUGAUCUAUAACAUAUCUGCAUGCUAAACGAACGAUGCCAGCACAGCGGCUGACCACGCCAGGAACUCCUGCUGACAACACCCCUGGAGGACCCCCCUGGACCUGGAGAAGACCCUCUGCCAUCAAGGACCCACGCCCAGAGGCUGCAAUUGGCAGAAGAAGACUGGCACGGCCCUGCCAGCCACACGCAAGGUGAGGCUGGGAUCUGUCCCUCCCUUGGACCUUUUGGACAUUCCUCUCACUGAACUCUUUUAACUGGACUCUACCCAAACCCAUAGGAACUUGCGUACAGUGCUAUAUCCUCUCUACCAUUGCAACCACACAUUCGUUAGUACGCGGCCGUAUUUUAUCGGGAAAUUCUAUUCACUGUUGCUUUUGUAAACCAUAUGUUAAACAUUCCCUAAUAAAAGUCAUCCAUCUUGUUGCA